rnacentral:rRNA from 1 species
GACGAACGCUGGCGGCGUGCCUAACACAUGCAAGUCGAACGGAGUUGCCCUUCGGGGUAACUUAGUGGCGAACGGGUGAGUAACGCGUGAGAAACCUGCCUCUCAGUGGGGGACAACAGUUGGAAACGACUGCUAAUACCGCAUGACACUUUAGUACCGCAUGGUACAGAAGUCAAAGCUUUAUGUGCUGAGAGAUGGUCUCGCGUCUGAUUAGCUAGAUGGCGGGGUAACGGCCAACCAUGGCGACGAUCAGUAGCCGGUCUGAGAGGAUGAACGGCCACAUUGGGACUGAGAUACGGCCCAGACUCCUACGGGAGGCAGCAGUGGGGAAUAUUGGGCAAUGGGGGAAACCCUGACCCAGCAACGCCGCGUGAAGGAAGAAGGCCUUCGGGUUGUAAACUUCUUUUACCAGGGACGAAGAACGUGACGGUGCCUGGAGAAAAAGCAACGGCUAACUACGUGCCAGCAGCCGCAGUAAGAC